rnacentral:rRNA from 1 species
AACGAACGCUGGCGGCAGGCUUAACACAUGCAAGUCGAACGGGUGUAGCAAUACAUCAGUGGCAGACGGGCGAGUAACACGUGGGAACCUUCCUAGGGGUACGGAACAACUCAGGGAAACUUGAGCUAAUACCGUAUACGUCCGUGAGGAGAAAGAGUUAUAGCCCUUAGACGGGCCCGCGUCGGAUUAGGUAGUUGGUGGGGUCACGGCCUACCAAGCCUACGAUCCGUAGCUGAUCUGAGAGGAUGAUCAGCCACACUGGGACUGAGACACGGCCCAGACUCUUACGGGAGGCAGCAGUGGGGAAUCUUGGACAAUGGGCGAAAGCCUGAUCCAGCCAUGCCGCGUGAGUGAAGAAGGCCUUAGGGUUGUAAAGCUCUUUUGCCAGGGACGAUAAUGACGGUACCUGGAGAAUAAGCCCCGGCAAACUUCGUGCCAGCAGCCGCCGUAAGAC